rnacentral:misc_RNA from 1 species
AAAGUGCGAUAAGCAAUGCGAAUUGCAGAAUUCCGCGAAUCAUCAGAUCCUUGAACGCAACUGGCGCCAGGAGGCUCUCCUUCUGGCAUGUCUGUUUCAGUGUCUGAAAACAUCACAAAUUAAACUUAAUGUGGUUGACAAUGAGAAAUCUUUUGGUUCCUCAGAAUCUCCCAUGAAAGAUGUACAUGCAGGUCUUUGGACCUCUCAUCGAAUUGGUCACUGUUCUUUCAGUGAUUUCGAUAGAGGAAACUAACUUCCAAUUACCUAAAUGCGUGUAGACCCUCUCUCUUGAGAAUCAUCAAUCUCUGCAUCUGAAAUCAGGCAAGAACACCCGCUGAACUUAA